UACGGGGGGGGCAAGCGUUGUUCGGAAUUACUGGGCGUAAAGGGCGCGUAGGCGGUUCGUUAAGUCCUGUGUGAAAUCCCUCGGCCCAACCGAGGAACUGCGCCCGAGACUGCUUCUCUUGAGUCCCGGAGAGGAAGGUGGAAUUCCCGGUGUAGCGGUGAAAUGUGUAGAGAUCGGGAGGAACACCGGUGGCGAAGGCGGCCUUCUGGACGGUGACUGACGCUGAGGCGCGAAAGCGUGGGGAGCAAACGGG
rnacentral:rRNA from 1 species